GUCUUAGAUGAGGUGGAGCGCCGGCGUGGGAUCUCCGCUGCAUUGGUCUAUCCUUUCAUGAGAAGUCUCAUGGAGUCGCCCUUCCCAGCCCCAGGGAAGACCAUCAAAGUGAAGACAUUCCUGCCAGGUGCUGGCAAUGAGGUGUUAGAGCUGCGGCGGCCCAUGGACUCAAGGCUGGAGCACGUGGACUUUGAGUGCCUUUUUACCUGCCUCAGUGUGCGCCAGCUCAUCCGAAUCUUUGCCUCGCUGCUGCUGGAGCGCCGGGUCAUUUUUGUGGCAGAUAAGCUCAGUACCCUCUCCAGCUGCUCCCAUGCGGUGGUGGCCUUGCUCUACCCCUUCUCCUGGCAGCACACCUUCAUUCCUGUCCUCCCGGCCUCCAUGAUUGACAUCGUCUGCUGUCCCACCCCCUUCCUGGUUGGCCUGCUCUCCAGCUCCCUCCCCAAACUGAAGGAGCUGCCUGUGGAGGAGGCGCUGAUGGUGAAUCUGGGAUCUGACCGAUUCAUCCGACAGAUAGAGGGACCUGCUAAGUUGCCCAGGCUGGUCUCUAACUC
rnacentral:sRNA from 1 species